UACGAAGGGGGCUAGCGUUGCUCGGAAUUACUGGGCGUAAAGGGCGCGUAGGCGGACAUUUAAGUCAGGGGUGAAAGUCCCAGAGCUCAACUCUGGAACUGCCUUUGAUACUGGGUGUCUUGAGUGUGAGAGAGGUAUGUGGAACUCCGAGUGUAGAGGUGAAAUUCGUAGAUAUUCGGAAGAACACCAGUGGCGAAGGCGACAUACUGGCUCAUUACUGACGCUGAGGCGCGAGAGCGUGGGGAGCAAACAGG
rnacentral:rRNA from 1 species